AGCAGAUGAUAGGCACCAGAGGGAGGGUGAGCCCGGUGAGGAAGGCAGUGCACCGACUUCUGACGUGCAGUCCAACGUGAUGGGGACCCUGCCUGUAAGAGGAGAUGUAGACAGCCUGACAUGGCCGAAGGCAACUCACAGUGAGGUACCAUCCUUGUAACCUUUGGGAGCAGAUGAGCAUUGGAGGUAUCCCAGAAGAUGACAGCACAUUGUCCAAGUCUGGUCAUAGGCUGACACGAGGACCUGCCUGGGUGACAUUGACUGCCAGUAGUCUGACGAUGGCAGGAAUCUCUGAGCCAGCCCAGGUGCCCCUCCUGUGCAUCAAAGAUGGAUUGGCAUCCCCAGCUCUCGGAAAGAUAAGUGCAGGGCAAAGCCCCAGAGAGGGGCUGGGAGUGGGUGCAAGUCUGUGCCUCGCCUGGAGGGAUUUUUGAAAUGAGUCCGGUGCAAGGGGUAUCCUGUGAGAGGUUAUUUGGACGCAUCAAAGGAAGGGCUUACUUUUUGUCAUUGGAUUCAUGUGUGCAGGGCUGAGCAGUUCCAGUGUCUGUCACGUCCUUUUUCUUGUCCCUGUUUUGUGUCCUUCAUCUCUUAAUUGUGUCACAUGGUGUGUGUUGUCACAGGUGUGGGGUGUCUCACUUGGGGUCAGCCUGGAACUGCUCUGCCCUGCUCCAUGGGUCAGUGGGUAGAUAGAAUAUUGCUCAGAGUGUCACAUCAGCACAUCAGUGCCCUCAGACAGUCGAGCUGAUGGCUGUACGGUCCUGCCGGAUGGAGCAGGUGUCCAUAACUCGUGUGCAAUCAUUAUAGCUGAGUGUUGUGGAGCUGAUGGUACUUGGCUAGCAGGGCCUUGAAGCUGGGUUGUCAUUUGUGUUCUUGUAUGCUGCAGUCAGAGUUCUCACUGGCUCAGUGGAAAUGAGUUCUUUGAAGUGGUUCAGGUCUCAGUGACCAUGUGGGUGACGUGACUGAUCCUUUGGUUUUUGUUGUUUUUUUUUUCAGAUAAGUGGACGCAAUUUACCCCUUACCGAGACAAGUUAAAGCAGUCUAGGAAGAAGGUUGUAUUAGGUGUUGAACGUGCCGAAGGUCCACCCACUAAGAGGUCCAGCUAAAGGAGCCUGAGAUGGCCAGCAUGAGGCAGUAUGUCAGCACAAGCCUCCGCGUCCGUGUUUUCCUGCAGUGGCCGUCUGUCCACGGUAUCCCAGAAGGUGACAGCCACAGUGUCUGACUCUGGUCAGGGCCUGGGUGCUGUUGACUCUGAGUAACCUGGUGACUGCAGGAACCACCUCACGAUCGGGCAACUGACUCAGUUUGGUCGUCUUGAGCUGUCCUUGUCUGCAAUCUCCGAGUUUUAAAAGGAUGAGCAGCAAGGCACAGAACUUUAGUGAUGGCAGGUGCCAUCUGGGUAACUUUUGGAAGCGUCCAGGCGCUGGAG